rnacentral:rRNA from 1 species
UACGGGGGGAGCAAGCGUUGUUCGGAUUUACUGGGCGUAAAGGGCGCGUAGGCGGUCGUGACAAGUCACUUGUGAAAUCUCCGGGCUUAACUCGGAACGGUCAAGUGAUACUGUCGGACUAGAGUACAGAAGGGGCAACUGGAAUUCUCGGUGUAGCGGUGAAAUGCGUAGAUAUCGAGAGGAACACCUGCGGCGAAGGCGGGUUGCUGGGCUGACACUGACGCUGAUGCGCGAAAGCUAGGGGAGCGAAGCGGG